rnacentral:snRNA from 1 species
GGAGAUGAGGGUGAUCCAGCUGUGACGUCUGUCACCCCAUCAGUCUCCAGGGUGGAUUGGGCAGAUGGGACUGGCUAGGCCAGCGUCCCCUUCCUCCCUCACUGCUCCGUGUGUGUCCCUCUUGAAGCUGCAAGCUGGGUCCAAGAGGGCGACCUUCCCUGAUGGAGGAGGACCGUUCUUCCGUCAAGGGUAUGUGAGGAGCUGUGCUCCCCCCGGAGAACCUCCAAACAAGCCCUCAAGGUUCCAUUUGCAGGAGGACGUAGGGUGGUCAGGCUUCCCAAGACUCCAGACGCAUCCAAAGGAGGUGGUGCCUCAUUUCUUUUUUU